AGCCUAUCUGGCCGCGCUCCGGAUGAUUUUUACGAUCUAAUUCAUAGACAGAACCCCCCAUUCAUUUAGCACCCAAAUGUCAGAGAGCCAGAAUCGGCCCUAAUAAAGUUUACAGCUUGAAAAGUCGAGCUGAUUCUCCGGGAAUAGCCCAGGAGUAUGAGCGCAAGGGGACGCCCGGCCCCUUGGAGCCGGUUAGUGGCCAAGGACCCCCAAAAGCCCCCAGCUCCACAGCAAAGGUAUGUGUGCCCUUUGCGGUAACAGACCCCCAGAAGGCAGGACUUGAAGAAGGCUGUUUCUGACUCCAAACCGGCGCUCCGGUCGUCUCCAGCUUCGGGCUCUGACACCGCCUGGAUAUCAAGGUCCUUUUCCCCGGGGGUCGAUACCGGUUCCUCCUUGUGGUCUUUCUUCCACUUCAUCCUGCGGUUCU